rnacentral:lncRNA from 1 species
UGUAGCAGCCCCGAAUCCGGGUCCCGAAUCGCCGCGGAUCCGGUUCGCUAUUUCUACAACUGUUGCGGAAGAUAUAAACAUAAAUUGUUUAUACAUUACAUUUUACACACUAUUCCCCAAAAUCGAGUAACCUUAACUAAUACACAAAUCAUAAACUAUACUAUUACAAACUAUACCAUUACAAUCUAGCUGCACAUUCUAUCCCAAGCUGAACUUGGCAUUAUCCUUUUUCUGUAUCUGGCCGUAUUCGCCUUAUCUGCAAUGUUUUAUCAUGAUAUAGCAAGGGUGAGCAUGAAAGUUGC